rnacentral:sRNA from 1 species
UUUCCCUGAGUACGAUCCAGAGGAGGCCAGAACUCCAUGUCCAUCCGCUGGCCGGGCCGCGCCCUCGGAAGCCAUGCCUGGAUCCUGAUCGCCAUGUUUCAGCUCGCCGUGGACCUGCCCGCCUGCGAGGCCCUGGGCCCGGGGCCGGAGUUCUGGCUCCUGCCGCGGUCGCCGCCCCGGCCGCCCCGGCUGUGGAGUUUUAGGAGUGGACAGCCAGCGCGGGUCCCGGCCCCGGUGUGGAGCCCCCGGCCGCCCCGAGUGGAGCGGAUCCACGGGCAGAUGCAGAUGCCCCGAGCCA